ACUAAUUGAGAGGCAACUCUUAACUGGCCAGUUGAGGAAAGGCCGAGAGGUUUAAGCUCAACGGGCAGAAAACGGGGGACAGCAGUACUAAACAUUCCUCGUGGCUGAGACGAAGGUAGUACUUCAACAGCGUCUCA
rnacentral:sRNA from 1 species